AUCUCAGAGCGUAGGUUGUGUCGGUCGGUCUCCAAAACCGACUCGUGAGAGUUCGAAUCUCUCCUGGGGUGC
rnacentral:tRNA from 7 species